GAACUGCGAUAAGUAAUGUGAAUUGCAGAAUUCAGUGAAUCAUCGAGUCUUUGAACGCACAUUGCGCCCCCUGGCAUUCCGGGGGGCAUGCCUGUCCGAGCGUCAUUGCUGCCCUUCAAGCCCGGCUUGUGUGUUGGGUCGUCGUCCCCUCCGGGGGACGGGCCCGAAAGGCAGCGGCGGCACCGCGUCCGGUCCUCGAGCGUAUGGGGCUUUGUCACCCGCUCGAUAAGGACCGGCCGGGCGCCAGCCGGCGUCUCCAACCUUUUUUUCUCAGGUUGACCUCGGAUCAGGUAGGGAUCCCCGCUGAACUUACGC
rnacentral:misc_RNA from 1 species